rnacentral:rRNA from 1 species
UACGAAGGGUGCAAACGUUGCUCGGAAUCAUUGGGCGUAAAGCGCACGUAGGCGGCCUGUUAAGUCGGAUGUGAAAUCCCUCGGCUCAACCGAGGACGUGCAUUCGAAACUGGCAGGCUCGAGUAUGGAAGAGGGUCGCGGAAUUCCCGGUGUAGAGGUGAAAUUCGUAGAUAUCAGGAGGAACACCGGUGGCGAAGGCGGGUCUCUGGGCAACAACUGACGCUGAGGAGCGAAAGCGUGGGGAGCGAACAGG